rnacentral:rRNA from 1 species
GAUGAACGCUGGCGGCGUGCCUAAUACAUGCAAGUCGAGCGGAAGGACGAGAAGCUUGCUUCUCUGAUGUUAGCGGCGGACGGGUGAGUAACACGUGGAUAACCUACCUAUAAGACUGGGAUAACUUCGGGAAACCGGAGCUAAUACCGGAUAAUAUUUUGCACCGCAUGGUUCAAAAGUAAAAGAGGGUCUUGCUGUCACUUAUAGAGGGAUCCGCGCUGCAUUAGCUAGUUGGUAAGGUAACGGGUUACCAAGGCAACUAGGCAUAGCCGACCUGAGAGGGUGAUCGGCGACACUGGAGGUUAGACACGGUCCAGACUCCUACGGGAGGGAGCAGUAGGGAAUCUGCCGCAAUGGUCGAGAGCCUUACGGAGCAACGGCGCGUGAGUGAUGAAGGUGUUCGGAUCGUAAAGCUCUGUUACUAGGGAAGAACCGAUGUGUAAGUAACUGUGCACAUCUUGACGGUACCUAAUCAGAAAGCCACGGCUAACUACGUG